GUCGUGCCAAGAAAAGCCACUAAGUAUAUUGUAUGUUGCCCGUACCGUAAACCGACACAGGUGGGUGGGAUGAGUAUUCUAAGGCGCGUGGAAGAACCCUGGUUAGGGAACUCUGCAAACUAGCACCGUAUCUUCGGUAUAAGGUGUGCCUACUUUGGUAUAUGGACUUGCUCCAAAAAGCUAGAGAGGUUGCAACAAAGAGUCCCUCCCGACUGUUUACCAAAAACACAGCACUUUGCUAACACGUAAGUGGAUGUAUAAGGUGUGACGCCUGCCCGGUGCUCGAAGGUUAACUGAUGAUGUCAGCGCAAGCGAA
rnacentral:rRNA from 1 species